AUUGAACGCUGGCGGCAGGCCUAACACAUGCAAGUCGAACGAGUGGCGGACGGGUGAGUAAUGCAUGGGAAUCCGGCUUAUGGAGGGGAAUCAUGACCGGACACUGUUGCUACAAACGCGUUACAUAGGCUGAGCCCGAGUGGGAUUAGGUAGUUGGUGGGGCAAUGGCUUCCCAAGCCGACGAUCUGUAGCUGGUCUGGGAGGAUGAUCAGUCACAAGGGAACUGAGACACGGCCCGGAUUCCUACGGGAGGCAGCAGUGGGGAAUAUUGGACAAUGGGGGCAACCCUGACGCAGCCAUGCCGCGUGAGUGAAGAAGGCCUUCGGGUUGUAAAGUUCUUUCGGUGGGGAGGCGUUAAUCACAGAAGAAGCACCGGCUAACUCCGUGCCAGCCGCCGCGGUAAUAC
rnacentral:rRNA from 1 species